UUUCGGGGAGUUUUAUUUCGUUUCGCCCCCGCCAUUGCGCUUGUUUCCAUCAUCCAUGGAAUGAUUGUCCAUAAUUGGUUUCGUUAGAUUGACUCACACAAUGUGGGUGGCCUUUCAUUCCUGGGCAAGUUUUGGUGUCGCCAUUAAGGCUCGCGCGCUCGCUCGAGCAUAAAUCCGGCAUG